ensembl:lncRNA FRG1-DT FRG1 divergent transcript
CUCUUUGUCCUGGGAAGAGUUUGCUGCAUCUUCCAGUUUCAGUAAUCAAAGAAGCAAAGUUCCCUGCAGUUCUUCAAGGAACCUUGAGAAUUCAGAAGGUCUUGGGGUGGCUGCAUCCAUCCUGCAGACAAAUGCCAAUCAGCAGAGGGGCCAUUCCCAGGGACACAUGUCUGGCUGACUUGGGCCUUGGCCAGGUAAGACACACAGCAUGCAUGCCUGCAUUUCUGAAUGCCAUAGACCUGACAAGUCAUAAAAUAGCAACCAAUAAUUUUAUGUUAGAGUGCUCCCUUCCUCACAGAAAUCUCAGCAUAUGUGAAGAUAGGUUGGAAUGUGUAAAGAAAAGCUAAGAAAGCAGAUUUCUGAUAAGAACAGCGUGUGACUUGUACAGCAGCUCUGAAUUACAGCCCGUAGGAUGGAAUGCUGACAGUUCCUUCUUCCUUACCUGUGAUGGCUAGAAUUUUAUUUAGCACAUCGUUUUUGAGCCAAUCUCAAAAUGAGAAAACUUUUGAGGAAUUAUGCAUAGUG